rnacentral:rRNA from 1 species
UACGUAGGGUGCAAGCGUUGUCCGGAAUUACUGGGCGUAAAGGGCCAGUAGGCGGCCAACUAAGUCACACGUGAAAUCCCCCGGCUUAACCUGGGAACUGCGUCUGAUACUGGGAGGCUAGAGUAUGGGAGAGGGAUGUAGAAUUCCCAGUGUAGAGGUGAAGUUCGUAGAUAUUGGGAAGAACACCGGUGGCGAAGGCGGCUACCUGGUCCGGUUCUGACGCUGAGGUGCGAAAGCGUGGGGAGCAAACAGG